GGGGGUGCACUGGUUUCGACAGGGGCAUUGAAAGAUUGAGCGCGUGUCUAGGUUGGUCGGCAGGCCUAGUAAAAAGCCGCCCAAAUUUACUCGGAAACGAUGUAGAAUACGCAAUGGCUGCAUAAUCUAAAGAUUAUUCGCAACAUUUGAGGGGCCUACACCGAUAACAAAAAGUAGGUAAAGACCUCAUGAGGGGAGGUCGGAAAACUAAGCCCUCGCUGCUAGUCGGGACCGCAGUUUAAACUUUCACCGGGUUUUGUUUCUUUGACAAAAGAAUCACAGCCGUUCCUUGCUCUAAUGGAACUACACACGUAGUGCUCUCUACCGGACAUGCUUUUGGACGUGGGUUCGAUUCCCACCACCUCCACCA
rnacentral:tmRNA from 1 species